rnacentral:lncRNA from 1 species
CUACUAAUCCAAUGAAAUGUCACAUUUUAAGUGUUUAGAUACAUUAACUUUUAUUUUAGUGGAUAAUUACUCAACAAUUGAGGUGCUCCUGAAUUGGAGGAAGAUUCUCAAAACAGAAUGUUUACAGAAAAAAAAUGAAUAAAAUCGUUUCUCUCCCCUAUCUCAUGUAUCCCCACGAUCUUUGUUUACUUUGAAAGUUGUUCACCUACAAAUUAAAGUAUUGCAUGUUGAUGUUUGAAUCAUCUACAGCAAACAUUAUUAUGUUUAAAUUUAACAAAUACCAAUGUGUAAUUAGUGCACGAUCUCUGAGAAUGAUUUAAAUAACCAGUGAAGGAUAUCCCUGCUUCUGCGUAGUGUGGCAUUCCAAGAAUGACGUCACUAUAAAAUACAAUGUAGGUUGGAUAUAUUUAGAAUAUCUCGUCAUACUGAUUUUUCCGGAUUGUAAAAGAAACAUAAACAGUGUAAAGGAGAGCUCAAGAUAUGAUAAUUUCUUGAGAAACAGAAGGGAAAUGUGUAAAUAAGUGUUUAAAGUCAAACUAUUCAUUUCUGGGUCUCCUUCUCUUCAAUCUUAGUAAGAUUUUGUUGGGGGGUUUUCCACACUAUAAAAACAAAAUGAAUGAUGUGAGGGAAUGUCACUAUGGUCAACCCCAUAGGGGAUUGACGGCUUGAAGCCGUCUUCCCCAAAAACCAACAUA